GAAACUUUAGUUAAAUCAUAACACAUGCCUGUCGGACAUGAAUUGCUUUUUAAGCAAGUUUCU
rnacentral:tRNA from 1 species